rnacentral:rRNA from 1 species
GCUUGGAAGCAGCCAUUCAUUUAAAGAGUGCGUAACAGCUCACUAGUCGAGGAGUUUGGCGUGGAUAAUAAUCGGGCAUAAGUAUUCUACCGAAGCUUUGGGAUGAGAAAUCAUCGGUAGGGGAGCAUUCCACUCUGCGUCGAAGGUGAAGCGCGAGCCUUGCUGGAGCGUGUGGAAAAGCAAAUGUAGGUAUAAGUAACGAUAAAGGGGGUGGGAAACCCCCUCGCCGAAAGACUAAGGUUUCCUGAUCAACGCUAAUCGGAUCAGGGUAAGUCGGGUCCUAAGGCUCAGCCGAACGGCGAGGCCGAUGGCAGAACCGGUUAAUAUUCCGGUACUACCUGUGGGAGUGACGUGGAGACGGAGUCGUGACAGCGCCGCGGACUGACGGAAUAGUCCGUUGAAGGGUGUAGAUGCUGAUUGUUCCAGGCAAAUCCGGAGCAAGAGUCGAACCUGACAGUAUGGAGCGUUCUUAGAACAAUCCAAUAGUGCGUGUAAUCAUACUUCCAAGAAAAUCCGCUAAACUUAAUCCUGCAGGUACCCGUACCGCAAACGGACACACGUAGUCGGGUUGAAUAUACUAAGGCGCUUGAGUGAUUCACGGUUAAGGAACUAGGCAAACUGACCCUGUAACUUCGGGAUAAAGGGUCCUCGCUUUACGGCGAGGCGCAGAGAAUAGGUCCAGGCAACUGUUUAACAAAAACACAGGGCUGUGCAAAAUUGAAAGAUGAAGUAUACAGCCUGACACCUGCCCGGUGCUGGAAGGUUAAGAGGAGAUGUCAUCGCAAGAGAAGCAUUGAAUUGAAGCCCCAGUAAACGGCGGCCGUAACUAUAACGGUCCUAAGGUAGCGAAAUUCCUUGUCGGGUAAGUUCCGACCUGCACGAAUGGUGUAAUGAUCUGGACGCUGUCUCAACCGUGAGCUCAGUGAAAUUGUAGUAUCGGUGAAGAUGCCGAUUACCCGCGAUGGGACGAAAAGACCCCGUGAACCUUUACUAUAGCUUAACAUUGAAUUUGGGUAAUUGAUGUGUAGGAUAGGCCGGAGACUUUGAAGCGCAGACGCCAGUUUGUGUGGAGUCGCUGUUGAAAUACGGCCCUUUGAUUAUUUGAGUUCUAACCCGUUGUAACGGGGACACUGUUUGGUGGGUAGUUUGACUGGGGUGGUCGCCUCCAAAAGUGUAACGGAGGCUUCUAAAGGUGCCCUCAGGACGAUUGGUAACCGUCCGUAGAGUGUAAUGGCAUAAGGGCGCUUGACUGGGAGACAUACAAGUCGAUCAGGUAGGAAACUAGAGCAUAGUGAUCCGGUGUUUCCGCAUGGAAGGGACAUCGCUCAAAGGAUAAAAGGUACUCCGGGGAUAACAGGCUGAUC